CAUCUCUCCUUACACAUUCAGAAACUCCAUUUGAAGGAAUAAGAACUUCCUAAAUACAGGCUAGAAUUUAUUACAGAAAUAGCAUAUUUUAAUUGAAAAUUAAAUUUAUGAAAGCAUUGACGUGACUUAGCAACAACUUUGACAAGAUCUUUUGACCGAAAUAUAAGCGUCUUUAUCAUACUAUCAUUUGCAACUCAGUUCCCCAUUUUAAUCAUCCUUGCAUUUUUCAACACAAUGGCUAGAUCAAACAUAUAUAAAUUAAAUAAAAAGGUAUGAAGACAAUAACUCUAAUCAUCAUCACUGAGCCUAUUGAGUAGUACUAUAAAUUUGAAAGGUACUUAAUUUACACCUUAUCUAAUGUACACAAAUAAGGAGUUGCCCUAAGCUUGGUUCUUAGUAGAAUAAUUAACAGAAUCCAAAACUUGAAAUCUCGACUUUUUAAUUUAAUCAGCAAAAAAUGAUAAAUGAAUUAACAGCAUGCUAAAGAAUCAAGGAUCAGAUGGCAAAAUUGAACUAUAAAUCAUCACAAAAUAGCAAAAGCACCAUCAGUUCCCAACAUAAUCGAAACUGAUAAAGGAUGACAAAUAAUGAAAAAAACUCAUAAGAGAUUUUUGAAAACUAUAAGAAUUCCAUAAUCAUUGUGGACGUAAGGGGAGUAAAAAUUUCUAGUAUAAACAGAGCCAUCCUUUACAUGAACAUCCACGGGGAGGUCAACAAUGCACAUGGUUAUGAAUAACAAAGCAUCGCUCAUUGUAUGUGAAGACCUCUUGAGAGAAGAUUGAUCAUACUUUCAGAUUUAAUAAGUUCAAAAGUUUAGCAACAGGUUCUUCUUCUAACCUUUUUGUUGCUGUUACAAAGACCAACUCUUUUAUUCUUGUUCAAUCAAAAGCAAAUGAGUAAUAAAAUUUAAUUCAAUAGUGCUAUUUACAAUAUGACCAAUUGAAUGUUGGUUUAGAAUAUGCAUCAGUUAACUGAAAGGAUGUGAUGGACGAAUGUUAAACUAUCAGCAAUUUCUCAUAAUUGACACAGACUUGAAAGGGAUAUGACAGAGGAUUGCAAAAGCACAACUAUGAGAAAAUUAGAUAAAUUAACAAAGAUCAUCAAUUCAUUUCUUUCUAGGUUGAUUGAUAUGAUGAUGAGACAUAUAUUUUCACAUAUUAACAACAAGUGUGAAUAAAUCAUUGGUAAGUACAAUAAUGAAUUUCGAAUAUGAAUAGUUUUUAACAGUAUAGUUUCAAAAUCAUUUGUAUAAUUUCAAAAUUUCGUUCAUGCAUAUUGAAUGUUUAAAAGAACAACGAAACACAUUAAAGUCAACAUUCAUUUGAUUAAAAUAAUAGACUAAAAAUAAAUCAUAAUGCAUAUGAGAACGAAAUAAGGAUUUAAACACAAUUUCAUCUAAUAACACUCAACAGGUUCAGGUACAAUGCUUGAAAAUCUCAAAAUUUAAGAUCAAGAGAAUCCAGCAGAGCGCAGUGUGUAGUUUAGGUUAAACGUGUAAUAUCCAAAGAAAUAAAAUAGAAUGAGGAAAGUAUUACUAAAUGAAAAUAAAGAGAAAAA
rnacentral:lncRNA from 1 species